GAUGAAGAACGUAGCGAAACGCGAUAAGUAAUGUGAAUUGCAGAAUUCAGUGAAUCAUCGAAUCUUUGAACGCACAUUGCGCCCGCCAGUAUUCUGGCGGGCAUGCCUGUUCGAGCGUCAUUUCAACCAUCAAGCCCCCGGCUUGUGUUGGGGACCUGCGGCUGCCGCAGGCCCUGAAAAGCAGUGGCGGGCUCGCUGUCACACCGAGCGUAGUAGCAUACAUCUCGCUCUGGGCGUGCUGCGGGUUCCGGCCGUUAAACCACCUUCAUAACCCAAGGUUGACCUCGGAUCAGGUAGGAAGACCCGCUGAACUUAAGCAUAUCAAUAAGCGGAGGA
rnacentral:misc_RNA from 1 species